GCUAAAAAUCUAGCCCGUAAAAUCCCGUAUGAACCUAACCUCUUUAUCUAAUAAACUAAAACAUUCUAAUAUUUAAGUAAAGGAGAUUGAAAAACAAGUUGGAGCAAUAAAAAGAGUACCGCAAGGGAAAGAUGAAAUAAAAAUGAAAUAAACCUUAAACACAGAAAAGUAGAGAUCACCCCUCGUACCUUUUGCAUCAUGGUUUAACUAGUUAAAUCAAGCAUAAAGCAUUAUAGUUUGACACCCCGAAACUAAGCGAGCUACUUCAGGGCAGCUUUAUGAGCAAACCCGUCUCUGUUGCAAAAGAGUGGGAUGACCCUCAAGUAGGGGUGAUAGACCUAACGAGCUUAGUGAUAGCUGGUUACUCAAGAAAAGGAUUUUAGUCCAACCUAAAGCUUCUUUUAUUAAUAAAAAUUAACCUUAAGCCUUAGAGCAAUUCAAAUAAGGUACAGCCUAUUUGAAACAGGAUACAACCUCAACUGAAGGGUAAGUAAGUUUGUACUCAACCAAGUUGGCCUAAGAGCAGCCACCUUUUAAAAAGCGUCAAAGCUUAAUUGAAAAAUUAAACUAAUUCCUAUAAUCUCUUUAAACCCUCUCUCAAUAUUGAGUAAUUCUAUACCCCCUAUAGAACCUAUUAUGUUAAAACUAGUAACAAGAAGCUAAACCUUCUCUUAGAUGUGUGUGUAAAUCAGAAAGGAUAAACCGCUGAUAAUUAACGUGUAUGAACCAGUAUUAAUAACUCUUCCAAGAAAACCCUAAUUUUCCACAACGUUAAACUAACACAAGAACACCCCAAGAAAGAUUAAAAGAAACAGAAGGAACUCGGCAAAUUUUAACCCCGCCUGUUUACCAAAAACAUCGCCUCCUGAACAAAAAUAGGAGGUCUAGCCUGCCCAGUGACCACAGUUCAACGGCCGCGGUAUCCUAACCGUGCGAAGGUAGCGUAAUCACUUGUUCUUUAAAUGAGGACUAGUAUGAAUGGCAUCACGAGGGUUAUACUGUCUCCUCUCUCCAAUCAGUAAAACUAUUCUCCCCGUGAAGAAACGGGGAUGCUUUUAUAAGACGAGAAGACCCUAUGGAGCUUUAAAUUUUAUUUCAACUGCUCUCUCAUGUGAACCGCUCCGACCUACUACACUUAGCCGAGCAUAAUGAUAAUAAAUUUUAGGUUGGGGUGACCGCGGAGCAUAAAAAAACCUCCGCAUAGAACAGGCCUAAGCCUUGAACAAAGAGCUACAACUCCAAGCACUAAUAUAUUAACAUCCAUUGACCCAAUAUUUUUGAUCAACGAACCAAGUUACCCUAGGGAUAACAGCGCAAUCUACUUUGAGAGCUCCUAUCGACAAGUAGGUUUACGACCUCGAUGUUGGAUCAGGGUAUCCCAUGUGGUGCUAGUCGCUACUAAAGGUUCGUUUGUCAACGA
rnacentral:rRNA from 1 species